UUCCUUUCCAUAGAAAAGUGUCAUACUAGGUGUGAAGCUGUGUCUAUAGAUGCUUGGCAUGUGGAUAUAGCCGAUAAUAAAAUAACUCAAUUAGAUACCGAGAAGUUAUAUUUUUGUGGCUUUCCUACUCUAAAACACAUUAAUCACAAGUUUGGUCUGAAAAAA